rnacentral:rRNA from 1 species
UACGUAGGGCGCAAGCGUUGUCCGGAUUUAUUGGGCGUAAAGAGCUCGUAGGCGGUCCGUCACGUCGGCUGUGAAAACCCGAGGCUCAACCUCGGGCCUGCAGUGGGUACGGGCAAACUAGAGUGCGGUAGGGGAGAAUGGAAUUCCUGGUGUAGCGGUGGAAUGCGCAGAUAUCAGGAGGAACACCGAUGGCGAAGGCAGUUCUCUGGGCCGUAACUGACGCUGAGGAGCGAAAGCGUGGGGAGCGAACAGG